CAACUUACCUGGACGGGGUCAAUGGGCGAUCAAGGCAUGACCUAGGUUGAUGACCUCCAUUGCAGUUAGGAGGGGCGCCCACUUAAGAUAUCUCCAAGUGGGAUAGCGUAAGUCAUUAUUUGUUGCUACGGAUGGGGGGUACGCAUUCGUGCAUCUCCUGC